GUCCCGGCAGUAAACGAUGGGCGCUGGCUGGUGGCGGAUUGACCCCGUCACUGGCUGAGCUUACGCGCAAGCGCCCCGCCUGGGGAGUACGGCCGCAAGGCUAAAACUCAAAGGAAUUGACGGGGGCCCGCACAAGCAGCGGAGCGUGUGGUUUAAUUCGACGCGACGCGUAGCACCUUACCAGGGCUUGACAUGGACCUGCAAAGGCUGGAAACAGCCCUUCCCUUGAGGGUGGUCCACAGAUGCUGCAUGGCUGUCGU
rnacentral:rRNA from 1 species